CCUUAGCAACGUGUAUCUGAACCAGGAAGUACUCUUCCCCUUCGAGCUACAUGGCUAUGGAUAGCGCAUACAGGCCAUGACGCUUGUCAAGCUAUGCAGGGGUGAUGGAGGAUCUAAUCACCUGUGUUGAGGAGCAGCCGCAACCGCAACCGCCUUCCUCUCUUCCAAACUCAUGGACCAAUCAGCACUCAGACUCAGCUCAGAGGACAGACGAAGAGCCCAAAGCUGUCGGUGGAUUUGUAUUAGUACACGCUGGGGCCGGAUACCAUUCUGAGUCAAAGGCCAAGGAGUACAAACAUGUCUGC